AGAUAAUAGAUACCCAGUAGUCCACGCCCUAAACGAUGUCAACUGGUUGUUGGUCCUCACUGGAUCAGUAAACGAAAAGCUAAACGCGUGAAGUUGACCGCCUGGGGAGGUACGGCCGCAAGGUUGAAACUACAAAGGAAUUGACGGGGACCCGGCACAAGCGGUGGAUGAUGUGGUUUAAAUUCGAUGCAACGCGAAAAACCUUACCUACCCUUGACAUGUCCAGAAUCUCGCGGAGAUGUGAGAGUGCCCGAAAGGGAGCUGGAACACAGGUGCUGCAUGGCUGUCGUCAGCUCGUGUCGUGAGAUGUUGGGUUAAGUCCCGCAACGAGCGCAACCCUUGCCAUUAGUUGCUACGAGAGGGCACUCUAAUGGGACUGCCGGUGACAAACCGGAGGAAGGUGGGGAUGACGUCAAGUCCUCAUGGCCCUUAUGGGUAGGGCUACACACGUCAUACAAUGGCUGGUACAGA
rnacentral:rRNA from 1 species